CGCGGCCUAUCAGCUUGUUGGUGGGGUAACGGCCUACCAAGGCGACGACGGGUAGCUGGUCUGAGAGGACGACCAGCCACACUGGAACUGAGAUACGGUCCAGACUCCUACGGGAGGCAGCAGUGGGGAAUCUUGCACAAUGGGCGAAAGCCUGAUGCAGCGACGCCGCGUGGGGGAUGAAUGCCUUCGGGUUGUAAACCCCUUUCGGCAGGGAAGAAGCGCAAGUGACGGUACCUGCAGAAGAAGCUCCGGCUAACUACGUGCCAGCGGCCGCGGUAAGACGUAGGGAGCGAGCGUUGUCCGGAUUCAUUGGGCGUAAAGCGCGCGUAGGCGGUUUGGCAAGUCGGAUGUGAAAUCCCGAGGCUCAACCUCGGGACUGCAUCCGAUACUGCCCGACUAGAGGUAGGUAGGGGAGAUCGGAAUUCCUGGUGUAGCGGUGAAAUGCGCAGAUAUCAGGAGGAACACCGGUGGCGAAGGCGGAUCUCUGGGCCUUACCUGACGCUGAGGCGCGAAAGCUAGGGGAGCGAACAGGAUUAGAUACCCUGGUAGUCCUAGCCGUAAACGUUGGGUGCUAGGUGUGGGCGGAUAUCGACCCCGUCCGUGCCGAAGCUAACGCAUUAAGCACCCCGCCUGGGGAGUACGG
rnacentral:rRNA from 1 species